rnacentral:rRNA from 1 species
GGAUGAACGCUGGCGGCGUGCUUAACACAUGCAAGUCGAACGGAAAGGCCCMWGCUUGCWKGGGUACUCGAGUGGCGAACGGGUGAGUAACACGUGGGUGAUCUGCCCUGCACUUCGGGAUAAGCCUGGGAAACUGGGUCUAAUACCGGAUAGGACCACAUUUUGGAUGGUGUGGUGGAAAGUUUUUUCGGUGUGGGAUGAGCUCGCGGCCUAUCAGCUUGUUGGUGGGGUAAUGGCCUACCAAGGCGUCGACGGGUAGCCGGCCUGAGAGGGUGUACGGCCACAUUGGGACUGAGAUACGGCCCAGACUCCUACGGGAGGCAGCAGUGGGGAAUAUUGCACAAUGGGCGCAAGCCUGAUGCAGCGACGCCGCGUGGGGGAUGACGGCCUUCGGGUUGUAAACUCCUUUCGCUAGGGACGAAGCGCAAGUGACGGUACCUGGAGAAGAAGCACCGGCUAACUAC